rnacentral:rRNA from 1 species
UGGGGAAUAUUGGACAAUGGGGGAAACCCUGAUCCAGCGACGCCGCGUGAGUGAAGAAGUAUUUCGGUAUGUAAAGCUCUAUCAGCAGGGAAGAAAAUGACGGUACCUGACUAAGAAGCCCCGGCUAACUACGUGCCAGCAGCCGCGGUAAUACGUAGGGGGCAAGCGUUAUCCGGAUUUACUGGGUGUAAAGGGAGCGCAGACGGCCAAGCAAGUCUGAAGUGAAAUGCAUGGGCUCAACCCAUGAAUUGCUUUGGAAACUGUUAGGCUUGAGUGUCGGAGGGGUAAGCGGAAUUCCUAGUGUAGCGGUGAAAUGCGUAGAUAUUAGGAGGAACACCGGAGGCGAAGGCGGCUUACUGGACGACAACUGACGUUGAGGCUCGAAGGCGUGGGGAGCAAACAGG